CACCGCUCGCGUACAGGCACGUGCGCACGCCGCGGCCUCGUGACACCAGCGGGAGGCACGCGCGCUGGCACGCGAAUGAUGAUGCUGCAUUUACGUCGUGGCCUUAAGAAAUCUAUAAAGGAGAAGAGGAGGAAGAACAAGUAAGAAGAAUAGGACGACGACGAAGAAGAAGAAGAAGAAGAAGAAGAAGAAGAAGAAGAAGAAGAAGAAGAAGAAGAAGAAGAUUAUCACUGGGUAAUUGAUAAAUAGUUCACAAAUUAAGGCUGAGGGGCCAAAAAUAGGUUACGAAUGAAUAUUCUCUUGCACAUUAUUAUAAUAGCAAUGCCAUGGAGCAGUAUUCCGACUAUUUUACAGUACAACCACUACCCCGCCAUCAAUCAUCAUCCUGAGCCGCAGCUCCCCUGGCUGCACCCGCAGUGCUGUAACUUUCUCCUGACAAUUUAUCAAGCCAUUCACGAGUCUACUGCCCUGACGCGUGGCUAUUUGGAGUUUUCAGGAAUUAAUAAAGAACUUGAAAGGCGCCUCUCAUCCAUGCGACCCUCGAAUUACAUUUUGUACAUUAGCAGUCGUGUUAUACGUGAACGUGUGUUUUCUUAUGAAAUGCUGCUAAGAUGUGUUAUGGUCAGAGUGGAAAGUAUUUUACUAUAAGUACUAACCAAAUAACUUCAUGGGGGACUCAAUUAUUAUCAGAGGACUGAAGUAUUUUAUUUGUUAUAUGUGCCUGUUUUUUGAGCAGCUGGUCGUGAGCCCGCAAUCAAGCUUAGCUUAAUGCGAGUGAGUUCAUCUCCGUAGCCGCUAACGCCACGAAACACCACGUGUCACACAAAUCACGUUUGCCUUCCUGCAGAUGGUUACAGUUCCGGUCGGGUGAGAUGAAAGGCAGAUUGGUCCAACGUGCAGUGCGGCCAACGCUUGUCCAUAAGAGCCACGCUGCGUUCAGCCUAUAACAAGCUGGAGGCAAUCACACAAAGCCGCACUCGACGGGGCGCAGCAGAUGUCCGGCGUAACCUUUGAAAUAUUUUCAAACGGAGCCUUAGCGGGCGGGCCACGACCUUGGUGUUGGAGGGAUGGCGUCAAAGGAAGACGGGGAGCAGGAUUCUCCUGGGAGAAGCUCGCUGCCGAGUGUCAGAACCCAGUUGGAGGGAAGAAAAGUCAUUCUUCCAACGCGAGUGGGCGCGGUAAAGUACAUGACUCAUCGCCUCCUCCGGAGCAGGACCCGAUUGGCAGCAACGCCGCAGCCGUGGCACGUGUGCGUGGACACUGGCGAGGAGGAGGCCCCGUAGCUCCCCCAGCCCUGGGCAGGCGCUCCGCUUCCUGGAGUCAGACCUGCCGCAGCCAAGCGUGCUUGUGUGGCAUUCCAUGGCGGCGCUCGGCCUCUUGAUCACGGGCUGGCUGCAGCGGAGCCGCCUGCCAAAGGCCCACAUGCGACGCCCGGAGCUUGGAUCCUGCACAGGAAGCUCCAUUUGGCAGCGUUUAAUUGAAAGCAAUGAGCAUAUUCUCCUGCGAGCCCUCUCGGCCGUCAGCGGGGGGUCCCUUAACGAAGGACCAUGUCUGUUUUCCUAGACUGUACUUUAUAUUCUGGUACGCCAAUAAACUGAUACUACACUGGUUUUGAGGAAUUAGU
ensembl:lncRNA